UACGAAGGGGGCUAGCGUUGCUCGGAAUCACUGGGCGUAAAGGGUGCGUAGGCGGGUCUUUAAGUCAGGGGUGAAAUCCUGGAGCUCAACUCCAGAACUGCCUUUGAUACUGAAGAUCUUGAGUUCGGGGGAGGUGAGUGGAACUGCGAGUGUAGAGGUGAAAUUCGUAGAUAUUCGCAAGAACACCGGUGGCGAAGGCGGCUCACUGGCCCGAUACUGACGCUGAGGCACGAAAGCGUGGGGAGCAAACAGG
rnacentral:rRNA from 1 species